rnacentral:lncRNA from 1 species
CCUAAUCACCCACACACCAAUGCUAGCUUUCUCAACAGACCCAUAGCAUUCGUACUAAGACUAGGAGUAUCUCCUAUUCACAUCAAGCACAGCCUGUAUGAUGUACCGCCACCUGCUUAAAUUUUUUGACCCCGUGGACAGAUCAAGGGGCUGAAGUACCGGUAAAAUGAUUCAAGGCAUGCGAUAAAUACGUUGCAUUAUUGCAAGACAUUAAUGCAAAACUAUCCCCAGUGCUAUCCAAUCACAUUAUGCAGCACGGCAUGAUCCUUUGCAUCCACCGGGACAAGCUAGUUGAGACUUAUCAUGUAUCCUCACUUCGAAAUAGAAGUAAUCAUGAUCGAAGCUGUGCUCAUGGCAUUACUGAAUUCAUUUGACACGCACAACAGCAGUAUACAAUUCAUCCAUUUUAAAGUUGUCACCUGAGCUCAACCUUUGAGGAACACCCAAACAGGCAAUCCGUCCGGCUCAGCGAAGGUUUCGCGGAAAGCUCUCAACUCAGAGACUCCGGUGCCGAUCCUGCAUCUGCAUCGUGCAAUGAAAAAGGUUUGUCAUCCAUUGUUUACAGAUGCUAAAAAAACUUAAAUCUCGCAGCGCUUUCCCACUAAUCGGCAUCGCAGAAAGACACAUUUUAUUUAUUCAAGUUAAUGCCCUUGUAAAGUGUCAGAUUUAUGUUCUUCAACCUCCAGCAAAUGACUGCGCAGCAGGUUGCUUCGUUUACCACUUUGAGCGAGCACAUGGGAAUGAUCCGACAACAAGAACAUCACCGAUCUAUAUAUCUUCAUGAAACCCUAACACCUUAGGCCUCGUUUGAUAGGAAGGGAUUGAGGGGGUUUUGAGGGGAUUAUCCCCGCGUGGGCCGAAAACCUCCGAAUUCCCUCUUAGCCCAUUUGGUGGACAGGGUUUCGCCGGGCUAGCGAUCCCCGAUCCACGAAAAACACCCCAACCCACGCGGUUUAGAGCCCUCGAGGGGGUGCUCGUGGAAUUGGGAGGAACGAUUCCAACGUAUCCUCGUCAACCCGCCGCCGUCGCCCGACUCCUCCUCAACCCUGCAGCCGUCUCCUCCUUAACACCUCGCGUCCCGACGCCGGCGAACUCCUUCGGCCAACAGGAUCUCCGGUGGUAAGUCAUCGCCGCCCCUCACCUCCCUCCCCCCCCCAUUCCCUCCCUCUCCCGUGGUUAGUCUUCGCCAUGGAUGCACGCCCUCCGUCCACCUCGUCCUUUCCCUCGCACGGAAUCCAUGGUCACUGGCCUACCUCCACCGGCCACCACGGCAGCUGGCCCGCGCCCCCGACGGCCUGCGCCGCACCUUGAAGAGGGCACCAGAUCUGAGGCACUGCCAAACGAGGCUUGAUGAUCUGGUGUGACCUUGAGCAGAUGUGAUUCAGAGAGGAUGUUGUCGAAGGCCUCCAAAGCUGUCCAAUAUUCUACUUUGCUACCUAGCUAGUGUUGCGAUACUAUGUAUACGUACCUCAUGAGCAUCUGUAGAUAUUCUGAAUUUCUGAUACAUGUUUAUACUUACGAUUCUUUACUUUGAUUAAUGUAUGGGCCUAAAAUCUUAUUGUUCUCUAGCUGAAUUUUACACCUGAAUCCCUUUGUAUGAAUCUCUGUGUACCAAAUAGAAAGGAUAUGUGAAAGGUUUGGUGAUUGAGAGGAUUUGAGAGGAUUGUGUGAGAGGAAGGGAUUCACCCAAUCCUCUUAAACACCCCCCUCCACAAACCUCCCCAAUCUCUUCCUGCCAAACAAGGCCUAAUGUAGUUCUCCCCUGGAAUAUUUCUCCCCCUCUGGGUAAGCUUAUUUACCCCCCUUUGCAUAAGCAUAAGCUUUGAUAUUUCUUCCCCUUUGGCAUUAAUUUCCAAAAAGGGUUAGAGGGUAAGCGUUCCUUGAGUGUAAGGGAUCCUUGAUGUUUCUCCCUUUUUGAAAAAAAGUUAAGAUUAAGACAAAGAACUCAAGUAGUAUCAAAAUUCGGAGGCUCCGAGGCAAAUUGGAUCGGUAGAACCGAAAGUGAUCUUAGGCCUCUGGGAUAAAUCGGUACAGCCGAAGAAGUUUAUGUUGCUGGUGCCGAAGAAGCUCUUGGUAGUAUAUCCGCUGAGUUGGUGAGACCGAUUUUCCGAGUUCAAAGGGACCGAGUUGCAAAUAGAAACUUAACUACUUGACAAUAUGGGGUUUCUUGUCAAACAAAAUCCUUCUUGUCCAUUUUGACUGUGAAGUCUUUCAGAAAUUUUGGCCAAGGUUCUUAGAAAAUAUUCAAAAGAUUUUCAAAGAAAUUUUAAGAAGAUUUGCAAUGAAUUAUCACAACUAGAUGAAGAUUGAAUGAUUCCAAGAAAGCAUGCAAAUAAAAUAUGAACCAUGCAAGAAAUUUCAUCUAGAUGUUGGUCGGUGACUAGGUCACCUAUAUUAGAGUAUAUCGACUUUAGGAGCCAAGCAAUAAUGGUGGGUCAUAGGUCAUACUCAUCAUUAAGCUCAAAAUGGGGUUACCAUUUUUCGUUAAGAAUUUUAAUGUCUUCAUAUCACUCGAGUUGCUUUAUCUCAUGACUUGAAGUAAAACUUUAUCAAGGAUAUGAGUACAUACCUUUGAAAGACGUAGAUGACGUAUCAUGUAGGUGAACUUGUUGUGGAUGCUAAAUGUCGAUGAAGUUCAUCUUGAAUUGUGAGCUAUCCUUGUGGUUUUGGUUCACUUUUCACCUACAUGGGUUAGUCAUGCAAGGAAGAAGAUAAUAUAUUUAAAUGACAAGAGUGAGUUUUAUUCAAAAAAUAGUUGUCAAGGAUAUGAUUUGAGUUAAAUGACAAGAGUGAGUUUUAUUCAACAAAUAGUUGCCAAGAUAUAAGAUAGUAUCGUAUCUAUAGCAUCAUGGAAUAGAAGUGAGCU